rnacentral:rRNA from 1 species
CAGUAGCCGCGGUAAUACGUAGGGUGCAAGCGUUAAUCGGAAUUACUGGGCGUAAAGCGUGCGCAGGCGGUUCGUUAAGACAGAUGUGAAAUCCCCGGGCUUAACCUGGGAACUGCGCUUGUGACUGCACAGCUAGAGUAUGGCAGAGGGGGGUGGAAUUCCACGUGUAGCAGUGAAAUGCGCAGAGAUGUGGAGGAACACCGAUGGCGAAGGCAGCCCCCUGGGCCAAUACUGACGCUCAUGCACGAAAGCGUGGGGAGCAAACAGGAUUAGAUACCCCUGUAGUCCCUGUCUCUUAUAC